UACGUAGGGUGCAAGCGUUGUCCGGAAUUAUUGGGCGUAAAGAGCUCGUAGGCGGUUUGUCGCGACUGCUGUGAAAUCCCAGGGCUUAACCCUGGGCCUGCAGUGGGUACGGGCAAACUAGAGUGCGGUAGGGGAGAUCGGAAUUCCUGGUGUAGCGGUGAAAUGCGCAGAUAUCAGGAGGAACACCGGUGGCGAAGGCGGGUCUCUGGGCCGUUACUGACGCUGAGGAGCGAAAGCAUGGGGAGCGAACAGG
rnacentral:rRNA from 1 species